CCCCUAGAUGUUCUGGGCCGCACGCGCGCUACACUGAACAGUUCAACAAGUCUUAACCUUGGCCGAUAGGUCUGGGUAAUCUUUGAACGCUGUUCGUGAUUGGGAUAGACCCUUGCAAUUAUGGGUCUUCAACGAGGAAUUCCUAGUAAACGCAAGUCAUCAGCUUGCAUUGAUUACGUCCCUGCCCUUUGUACACACCGCCCGUCGCACCUACCGAUUGAAUGGUCCGGUGAAAUCUCGGGACGGCGGCUCGGUCGCUUGCGUCCGACUGCUGAAACUUGAUUAAACCAUAUCAUUUAGAGGAAGGUGAAGUCGUAACA
rnacentral:rRNA from 1 species